CCACUAACUACAAAUGGCUAGUCCAGAUGGAGAUGUGUCAUAAGUUAGAAUGCACACCAAAGACCUAACACCAAAAAAGGAUCCCUCCAGUAGAGCAACAGAAGUAUGCUGCUUGAGAGACUGGGUCAACGGCCUGGUUUGAGUAACCAAAGGUCUGGACAAGUGUACUGCUAACAUCUGAGAGUCCUAUAGAACAGUUUUGACCUGGAAUAUUUCAGGGCAAGUGUUGCCAGUCACCCGUGCCACAAAAGAACAUGACUUCUGCCAAACAUGUGGUUUUGUGCAAGCUGGUCUCCUGGUUGGGGCCGCAGAAAAGUGUGACGUUGACACUUCUCCGUCUGUAUUUGCUCCUCUUGAAUCUGGGUGGGCCUUGGACUGUGGUGGACGUGACUCUGCAUGACUUCUGAGGCUAAGUCAUAAAAAAUGCUAGAACUUCUCCCAGAUUUUUCUCCCUUGGGAGCCUUCUGCUGACAUGGAAGAACUUUGCCAUCCUGAAGUUACC